GGUAUAUCUAGAAAAAUCAUCAAUGAAAGUAAUGAAAUAUCUAUUUCCUCCUCUAGUUAACAUGUCAUUUAAUUCACAUAUAUCCGAAUGAAUUAAUUCCAAAAUACUAGAGGUUCUUUUUACACUUUGAUGUGGGUUUUUAAUCAUUUUUUUAUUCUACACAUGUUUUGCAUUUAUAAAUAUUAUUUUCAUCAUAUGAAAUCAAAUCACACUUUUUCAUACGUUUCAUAGUGCUUUUACCAAUGUGUCAUAAUCUAGCAUGCCAUAAUAAAAAUAAUUCAACAACAUAAGUAAAAUUAGAUUUAUUUAUUUCAUUGUUAACGGUACAUAAUUUCACCAUUCCAUCACAAGAAUAGCAUUUUCUAACAAAAUUUCCUUUAAGGGAUAAUACAAGUUUACCGGAUUCAUACACACAUUUGAUACCCGAUUUUCCUAAGAGAUUUCCACUGACCAAGUUCUUAAUCAUUUCUGGAACAUGUAGUAUAUUAGUAAGGGUAAUGAUUUUUCCAGAAGUGAAGAAUAUAUCAACAUUUCCCUUGCCAAUUACUUUGGACCAAACUUCAUUGCCCAUUUGAAUCUCUUGAUCUCCAUCUACUUCUUUAUAGGUUUUGAAUAAAGAUUUAUCAUAUGAUACAUACACUGUAGCACAAGUAUCAUACCACCACCCGGGAACCUUUCCCUUGAUUACAUUUAUUUCGCUUACGGUGGCCACAAUCUUUUCUUCUUGAAUGAAUUUUAUUUUACCGUCGGAGUUGUUUCUUUUCCGGUGUCUACAAUCCUUUGCGUAGUGUCCAGAUUUACCACACACAAAGCAUCCUCAUUUGAUCUUCUUCUUGGACUUGUUAAAGUUCCUUGAAGACUUCCUUUUAUUGGACUUUGUAGGCGGUUCAGAUUUCUUAAAGGCAUUGGCUUUAGAAGUUCCUUCCGAAGAAUUUUCACUUCUAUCACGCAAUAUGGAUUCUUCUUCAAUCCAAAAAUGUUUUUUUAAUUGUUCCAAAGUAUCUUCGGAACUAUGCAUUAUUUUCUUCCGGUAUCCUUUCCAAACCCUUGGGAGUUUAGCAAUUAUAGCCCCCACUUGAAAGGUCUCCAAAAUUUCAAUCUUUACCGCUUUUAAUUUGUUGAGAAUAACUUGUAACUCAUGUAUUUGGGGAAGAAGGAGAAUAUUAUCUAAAAAUUUAAAAUCAAAGCACUUUGAAAUUAAAAAUUUCUUAGUACCUUCUUCUUCCGCUUUAUACUUACUCUCCAAAACAUUCCAAAUUUCCUUUGCCGACGUAGUAUUUGUUUAUAAAUCAUAUAGAUGAUCUGAUAGUGCAUUCAAAAUGUGACCGCGGCAAAUUAAUUCAUCUUCUUGCCUUUUUUGUCUUUCAGCCCUAACUGCUUCGGUUUCUCCAUUUGUGGGUUCCGAUAGAGGCGUCAACUCGGGAUCUAAGAUGUAGAAGAUCUUCAAUGCAAUAAGAAGAAACUUCAAUUUGUCUUGCCAACGCGUGAAAUUUGUGUCAUCGAACCGAUCCAAUCGCACCAAGUCUUGAUUCAUAAGUUUUAUGGUUGACAUUUUAGUUUCGUUCUCCAUAUCAACUUCAAUAUUCGUUUGAGAUUGUUAGAAAUAGUUUCUCCACCAAGGGGUUAGAGAGCGAAUUACAAUUGUAGAUUGAAAGAAAAUUAGAAGAUGAAGAAUAUAAAACGAAUGUAGGAAGGCUAAAACACGAUAUGAGAUUGUUAUCUUCAAACGAAUUUUGCCCCCACUAGAAAAGAUUAUGGUGCUUAAAGGGUCAUCUGGCAAAAUGUUUGAAUGAUUGAUCAAGCCUUGUAAAGAUUCAAACACUAAGCACUUGUUUGAUUCUCUAAGAACUUAAGAACACAAUGGAAAAGGAAUAUGGAAGAAAAUGGUUUUGUUUUUCUUUCUUUUCUCUUGUUUGAUCUUAUAAACAUGUAAAUUACAAGUGUUUUUUUCAUUCUCUUUAGAUGAUCAAAAAUCACCUAAUUUAUAGCCAUGCAACAUAGCUUCACGAAGUGGUGCCAAAAUUAAGUGAAAGGCUGCCAAAAAACCACACAAACCGACUCCAACGAUCACUGAACUUAUACGAUGCGACCGCAUGGUGAAAAUCCAUGCGGUCGCAUGGUUAGUUAGAACCGAGGGGCCUCGGUUGGUUGCCAUGCGGUCGCGUGGUUUUUUGAACAACCAUCACAGUUAGUGCCAACUUCUUUGCAAGAUCCUGUUCCACCUCCUGUGCAAACUCCAAUGGUACAAUCUUCAUUAGUAUUUCCAGAAUACCAGUGGAGUAGGUAGGGCUGAGGAAGCGAAAAACACUGAGUUACUGGAAGGAUGAUUUCUUGUUGGAUACAACAGUCCUCCACAAGAUACACACAUAAAGGAAGGUAAGUAUAAACCUGAAAAAAUUGGAGCAGAUGCUGUCAUAUUAUUUUAAUAUAUAUAUAACCUGGACCCGAGCAAGUUUUCCAUUCAAAAUAUUAUAAUGUUUUAUUAUUUUUAGAUAACGAAAAAAAAAUUGCAAUUUUAUUAUUUUUAGAAAUCAAACCCUACACCAAUAACACAAUGUUUUUUCAUGUUAUUCAAAGUUAAAAUACUUUUAGAAUACACAUAAAAUUAUUAUAGAUUAAUGGCACAAAAGAUGCACAUUUUAUUCUUUUUUUUUUUCGCUUUCUGUAAAAGAUACUAAAAUUAGCACAUAUACUUGUACAGAAGAAGCACAUUUAAUAUUAAUUAUAGAAUACACAUAAAUUCCGUACCAGUAGCUCAGAAUUAGCACCAUGAGUUGCCUGUCUACUACUUUUACAUUAAACUCAAACUCUAGACCAAUAACACAAAGGAAGAUCAUGUUUUUAGGAGCUACUAAUCUUAGAACAAAAGCCUUUUUAAUAUCUCAAAGUUCAAAAACAAACACUGUAAAAAGAUAUAAUUAUAUUAUGUAGGAAAUUAUUUUACCUUAUUACUUUAAGUUGCACUACAAAAAAUUGCUUUAUUACGUGUCCAUUCAAGAAAUUGCACUUGUGGGUCAUGCAUUGCCUCUAAUUUUCCUAUUGUGAUCUACAUAUACACUAAGAAUCACUAGAAGUUUCCACAUGUAUACAUUUCAAAUUCAGCUUAGUUCGGCAUUUUUCCUUGGGAAAAUUGCAGCCGAGGUACCA
rnacentral:lncRNA from 1 species